rnacentral:lncRNA from 1 species
GAGAAACCAUUACCACUGCAUGUCUGCCGUCUGCCGUUAUCGCAAUCACUUCAAAUCACGACUAUUUAUUGUUCGUUUGAGAUCUCUCCUCAUGUACAUUUGAGAUGUCCAAAAGGAAUGAAACAUUGGAGGGUAAAAACUUGAAUGCAAAUGAUGCUCUAUCAAAAUGAGAGGGAGUUACUUCUCUGUCUUUGAUGUUGCAACCACAUUAGGAACAUAAGGCAAGUAUUAAUAAGUAAAAACUAAAGUACGAUUAUUUUAAACCGAAGGGAACUACUCACAACUUCACUUUUUGGAGAUAAAAAUUUUAACUGGACCACAUUAAAAAUCUUACUAAAUUAUACUUUUUGAAUUUAGCUAAAAUAGAAAAGAUGAAAAAGUCAUAAGUAGCCAAACAUAAAUAAUUUUUAUAAAUUGAUAAAAUCGCAAUUUUUUUCUAAUGAUAUCUAUGAGUGCAAUUUUCGUCCUUCAAGCACCAUACACCAUACAUAUCACAACCUAUGUAUGAGGGCGUGCAAAUGAUCCAACUUCUAGGCAUCCUAUUAAAAUAUGGUCCUAAGUACCCUGCCUUACAUUGAUCCUCAUUGUUAUUAUGUAGGUCCACUCCUGCCAAAGGUGAUGUCGUUUCAUUCUUCUUAGACACAGCUGCAUUUAGCUUUUUCGAAUUUGCCACAUUUUUCUUUAGGAGAAGGCAUUUCAUGUAAUUCUAUACUUGCUCCUUGAUCUUGGUGGCUUGCUUGAUAUUUGAAAGUCAAUUUGCAGAGGAGAAACUUCUUGUCCUUAAUAGAUAAGACAUGCUUGGGAUUUGCAGGUUACACUUUAAGAAUAUUUUUAAUUCUUAUCGUUGAGUCCUUUGUUUUUCUUAGAAAUGUCUUUCUUAAUCUCUACUUUCCCAAAAUCUACCCUGCAAGAUACCAUUAACUCAGAGUCAAUCUUGAAGCAACCUUGACUCUAAAGUUUAAACUGCACACCGGGCAUUAAAUAGCACUUCAAAGUGAAAAAUUAAUUUUUUCAAUAUAUAAAAAGAUAUUAUAUAGGAACUUUAAUAUAAUAAAUAAAAUAUUAUUUUAACUCCUGAGUCAUUCAUAGAAAUCAGAGAGAAUAUAUAAGACAUAACAGAAUUACAUUUAUAAGAUAAAAGAGUAAGCAUUGAAUAAGUUCUGGAAAAAAUAAAGCAUAGGAUAAAAAUUGGAAUUAAUAUUUAAAAAUCAUAUGGAAUUGAAAAGGGCAAGGCAUAUUCAAGGCAAUGAAACAGAAGGGGGUGGGGGGGUGGAAACACAUACCUAGAAAAAAAUGCAUACCUUGAAUUUCACGGGAAAGAGAAAACUCGAAGUGUACCUAUAGUGUUAGUGGGUUGUCACACAAAUGGAGAGAGAUGGACAAUGAAUAGUGAGGAGAGACAACUACAGAGUGAAU